rnacentral:rRNA from 1 species
UACGUAGGGCGCAAGCGUUAUCCGGAAUUAUUGGGCGUAAAGAGCUCGUAGGCGGUUUGUCGCGUCUGCCGUGAAAGUCCGGGGCUCAACUCCGGAUCUGCGGUGGGUACGGGCAGACUAGAGUGAUGUAGGGGAGACUGGAAUUCCUGGUGUAGCGGUGAAAUGCGUAGAUAUCGAGAGGAACACCUGCGGCGAGGCGGGUAGCUGGGCCGACACGUGACGCUGAAGCGCGAAAGCCAGGGGAGCGAACGGG